rnacentral:rRNA from 1 species
GUACACUCCUGCGGGAGGCAGCAGUGGGGAAUAUUGGACAAUGGGCGCAAGCCUGAUCCAGCCAUGCCGCGUGAGUGAUGAAGGCCCUAGGGUUGUAAAGCUCUUUCACCGGUGAAGAUAAUGACGGUAACCGGAGAAGAAGCCCCGGCUAACUUCGUGCCAGCAGCCGCGGUAAUACGCAGGGGGCUAGCGUUGUUCGGAUUUACUGGGCGUAAAGCGCACGUAGGCGGACUAUUAAGUCAGGGGUGAAAUCCCGGGGCUCAACCCCGGAACUGCCUUUGAUACUGGUAGUCUUGAGUUCGAGAGAGGUGAGUGGAAUUCCGAGUGUAGAGGUGAAAUUCGUAGAUAUUCGGAGGAACACCAGUGGCGAAGGCGGCUCACUGGCUCGAUACUGACGCUGAGGUGCGAAAGCGUGGGGAGCAAACAGGAUUAGAUACCCUAGUAGUCCCA